rnacentral:snRNA from 1 species
UUUCUCAUUUGAGAAACU